GGUGAACCUGCGGAAGGAUCAUUACCGAGUGAGGGCCCUCUGGGUCCAACCUCCCACCCAUGUUUAUUGUACCUUGUUGCUUCGGCGGGCCCGCCUCACGGCCGCCGGGGGGCUUCUGCCCUCUGGCCCGCGCCCGCCGAAGACACCAUUGAACACUGUCUGAAGAUUGCAGUCUGAGCAAUUAGCUAAAUAAGUUAAAACUUUCAACAACGGAUCUCUUGGUUCCGGCAUCGAUGAAGAACGCAGCGAAAUGCGAUACGUAAUGUGAAUUGCAGAAUUCAGUGAAUCAUCGAGUCUUUGAACGCACAUUGCGCCCCUUGGUAUUCCGGGGGGCAUGCCUGUCCGAGCGUCAUUGCUGCCCUCAAGCACGGCUUGUGUGUUGGGCCCCGUCCUCCUUCCCGGGGGACGGGCCCGAAAGGCAGCGGCGGCACCGCGUCCGGUCCUCGAGCGUAUGGGGCUUUGUCACCCGCUCUUGUAGGCCCGGCCGGCGCUUGCCGACAACCAUCAAUC
rnacentral:rRNA from 1 species